rnacentral:rRNA from 1 species
ACGGAAGGCGGCAGUGGGGAAUAUUGCACAAUGGGCGAAAGCCUGAUGCAGCGACGCCGCGUGAGUGAUGAAGUAUUUCGGUAUGUAAAGCUCUAUCAGCAGGGAAGAUAAUGACGGUACCUGACUAAGAAGCACCGGCUAAAUACGUGCCAGCAGCCGCGGUAAUACGAAUGGUGCAAGCGUUAUCCGGAUUUACUGGGUGUAAAGGGAGCGCAGGCGGUACGGCAAGUCUGAUGUGAAAGCCCGGGGCUCACCCCCGGUACUGCAUUGGAAACUGUCGAACUAGAGUGUCGGAGGGGUAAGUGGAAUUCCUAGUGUAGCGGUGAAAUGCGUAGAUAUUAGGAGGAGCACCAGUGGCGAAGGCGGCUUACUGGACGAUAACUGACGCUGAGGCUCGAAAGCGUGGGGAGCAAACAGGAUUAGAUACCCUGGUA